ACAAAUCUCUGCGUGCUGUACAGCCGAAAGGCUGCUACCAGCACACAUAAGCACCCUAGGGCACACGCCCUAGUGUGAGGGGGGCCUACGGAGCAAUCCAGCGGCCCCCACAGGUCAUUCGUGACCACAUUAACGCUUGUUUGUUUGACAGAGUUAUGUGAAUACACAAAUUGA
rnacentral:misc_RNA from 1 species